CGCACGGUGGCACAGUGGUUAGCACUGCUGCUUCGCAAUAAGGAGGCUCUAGGUUCGCAUCCUGGCUUGCCA